UCACUCUGGAACCAAUAACUGAGAGGUAAGCAGUGAUGUGCAUAUUAUUUUGCAACAAAGGACACAGUGAGCUCCAUAACAGAGGUAGAGUCCUGCAGCCACCGCCGGGUGGAGCUGCUGUUGUCUCUCUUUAAACUUAGAGAGAAAUCGUGCGCAUCUUAAGAGAUGGAUGUGUAGCACUAGAGGAAGAGGAAGGGGGUGUAGUGUGGUCAUCUUAGGUUGUGGAGGGCAAGUCCUGCAUAUACAGUGACUGUUUGGGUUGUUACUGUAUGCUUCCAGAGUAGUUUAUAGUAAAUGAAAGAAACAUAUCUUUCUACCUCUAUUCGUUCUGCACUCUUAACCAACACACUGCACUGUUGUUUUCCGAUUGUCACACAUCAUAAAGACCUCAAGGAUGCUACCUCCCUUAUUAUUGUUUACAGGAAUAAACCAAGUCACAGUAACACACAUUAUUUGUGUUUGGAAGUGGGUAACGUGAGAGAAAGGAUGAGACAGAGAAGCAUCUGCAGGCUGAAGUUCCCCUCAGGUCACAGUGACACAGAAACUCCUUCAUGACCCAGUAAUGCUGCGAUGUUUUCACAUUUCAGGCUGCAGAUAAGAUGUAAGAUUUGUUAAGUGUUCAGCUCAGUUGUGACUGUGUUUAUUGAAUUUUCUCUGUCCCCGUUACUGGCCCUGCUGUUCCUUUUAUGCAAUGACAUAAUAAAAGGUGUCGCACUUUU